rnacentral:rRNA from 1 species
UAGGGAAUAUUGCAAAAUGGGCGAAAGCCCGAUGCAGCAACGCCGCGUGGGCGAUGAAGGCCUUCGGGUCGUAAAGCCCUUUUUGAGGGGAUGAGGAAGGACAGUACCCUCAGAAUAAGCCUCGGCUAACUACGUGCAAGCAGCCGCGGUAAAACGUAGGAGGCGAACGUUAUCCGGAUUUACUGGGCGUAAAGCGCGUGCAGGCGGAUUGGAGAGUUGGAUGUGAAAGCUCCCGGCUUAACUGGGAGAGGUCGUUCAAUACUUCCAGUCUUGAGUGCAGUAGAGGGAAGUGGAAUUCCGGGUGUAGUGGUGAAAUGCGUAGAUAUCCGGAGGAACACCAGUGGCGAAAGCGGCUUCCUGGACUGUAACUGACGCGCAGACGCGAAAGCUAGGGUAGCAAACG